rnacentral:rRNA from 1 species
AUGAACGCUGGCGGCGUGCCUAAUACAUGCAAGUCGAGCGAACGGACGAGAAGCUUGCUUCUCUGAUGUUAGCGGCGGACGGGUGAGUAACACGUGGAUAACCUACCUAUAAGACUGGGAUAACUUCGGGAAACCGUAGCUAAUGCCGGAUAAUAUUUUGAACCGCAUGGUUCAAAAGUGAAAGACGGUCUUGCUGUCACUUAUAGAUGGAUCCGCGCUGCAUUAGCUAGUUGGUAAGGUAACGGCUUACCAAGGCAACGAUGCAUAGCCGACCUGAGAGGGUGAUCGGCCACACUGGAACUGAGACACGGUCCAGACUCCUACGGGAGGCAGCAGUAGGGAAUCUUCCGCAAUGGGCGAAAGCCUGACGGAGCAACGCCGCGUGAGUGAUGAAGGUCUUCGGAUCGUAAAACUCUGUUAUUAGGGAAGAACAUAUGUGUAAGUAACUGUGCACAUCUUGACGGUACCUAAUCAGAAAGCCACGGCUAACUACGUG